GAUGAACGCUGACAGAAUGCUUAACACAUGCAAGUCAACUUGAACUUCAGUUUGGGUGGCGGACGGGUGAGUAACGCGUAAAGAACUUGCCUCACAGAUAGGGACAACAUUUGGAAACGAAUGCUAAUACCUGAUAUUAUGAUUUUAGGGCAUCCUAGGAUUAUGAAAGCUAUAUGCGCUGUGAGAGAGCUUUGCGUCCCAUUAGCUAGUUGGAGAGGUAACGGCUCACCAAGGCGAUGAUGGGUAGCCGGCCUGAGAGGGUGAUCGGCCACAAGGGGACUGAGACACGGCCCUUACUCCUACGGGAGGCAGCAGUGGGGAAUAUUGGACAAUGGACCAAGAGUCUGAUCCAGCAAUUCUGUGUGCACGAUGAAGUUUUUCGGAAUGUAAAGUGCUUUCAGUUGGGAAGAAAAAAAUGACGGUACCAACAGAAGA
rnacentral:rRNA from 1 species